ensembl:lncRNA
GGUGAGGAUUGCUGCAUGGGAGAGUCUUCAUGAAACUUUUGUAGUCAGAGAGAUUUUUUUUUUUUAUAAGCAGGACUUUUAAAGGGAGCCAUGAGUAAAGAGAUAGAAGAGGGUCAGCACUGAGAGGUGUGAGGCCCCCCUGAAAUCCGUGGCCGUGCAUAAAAGCUGGAAUCAAGAUUACUGGGAGAAAUAUCAAUAACCUCAGAUAUGCAGAUGACACCACCCUUACGGAAGAAAGUGAAGAAUUAAAGAGCCUCUUGAUGAAAGUGAAAGAGGAGAGUGAAAAAGUUGGCUUGAAACUCAACAUUCAGAAAACUAAGGUCAUGGCAUCUUGUCCCAUCACUUCUUGGGAAAUAGAUUGGGAAACAGUGACAAGCUUUAUUUUG